UUUUUGUAUAACGUUUUCCUGUUUUGUAUUGAAUGCCAAAAUACGCAAUCUUGCUUUUAUAUAUGACUCGAUAUUAUAUUGAAUUAGCAAUUUCGCGAGGCCUUAUAAUUUGAAUAUUUGAUGCACUGAGGUUUGAUGCCUAGAAAUGCCUAGUGCAAUUGGGGGGGUGGGGGGGUAUAUUUUUAAAUUUUAAUCUAUAUAGUUGAACAGGGGGGUCAUUUUUUCAUUUCCAAAAAAUAUGGGGGGGUG